GCCACCUGCCACCCCUUUAUGCCCUCAGAAAAAUAUCCACAGUUUGACAGCAGUUGUAGUGCUUCAUUAAAUGAUAAUUUGAAAUGUUUUGUGCAAACUAAUUUCAGUUGAAGCUGGAAUGUUGACUAUGCAGCUAGGUUAUCUGUUUCAUUUUCUAGACUGAUAAAAGUAGCACCAUUGUUACAGCCAAGGUUACAGGACAUCACAAGAUGCCGAAAGGAUAUGACACACUUGUCAAUUGAAAAAGUGUUCACGUCAACGAGUGCAUUGUUUUUACCACUCAUGUGUUCCGACAAAGGAGUCCACGACAGAAUUGUUUAUUGCUGUAAUGGGGCUCAAGGGCAUCACCCAUGGAAAAGGGCUACAUGUAAUGUUGGUGAUGGAAGGCCGGUAGCACAGGUUGAUAUAGUUGCUGGGUCGUCUGGGUUACAGCCCCCAAAUUAGUCUUUUCUAUUCAAUUAAGAUUCUGCAAUUUCAGCCGUUAUUCUUUAAAAGGAAUAACCUACUGCAUCUUAUUGUAUGGUUCUGCCAAUUGCGAAGUUUGGGAGCGGAGUAUAAUGAAGGGAUCCUGUAGUUUUUAGAGUUAAACAGCACUCAUUCAUCUGGAUGUUAUUUUUAAUUAUUGUGUCCUCUUGGCCCAUCCAACCCAGCAUGGUAAUUAUUAAUUAAUUCUGAAUGAAAUUAAGACUGAUGAAUUAUCACACGCGGAAUUGGACAGGUGGUUCGUCCUUGGAGUAGCUGAACGAGGAGACUAUUACGGCAUCAACAAACCCAACGUAUUCACUCGAGCUGUUUUUGUCGGCGGGAUAUAACGAGAAGACCUGGCAGAUAACGCGUUUCCCAUCGACGUCGUCACGAUGAGUUUCAUCGGCUCAUUUUUCUUCCGAUGAGUUAAAAGUAUUUUCAUUUAUUUCCUUUUUUCUCGUUUAUGUAGUGUUAAUUUUGCAAUUUUUAAUUGAACCACUGAGCUAUUCUUAUACGUGGAUAGUGAAGAUUUAUUCACUGUGGAACACCUGCAUCGACUUCUUCGACUGGCCAUCGCUGGGGAAAUGGAAUUGAGUUUUGCCUUGUUGCUUCUCAUUUCCAGAAUACUUCCUUCUUUUCUUUCUUACUACUUUCUCUUGGACCAGAAUACUUCUUCGGCCAUGGUCAACAAACCACUCUGUAAUUUGAAAAAAGGAACAGCUUAUCAUUGGUAUCUGUUUGUCAUUCUAACGGCCGCCUUAUCAGCUGUUGGCCUGCCCUAGAUGCUCGUCCUUGUUCGGAAUUCGCCACUUAACGCCCACGCACUGACUGAUGUCGAUUAAAAGCAAUAAAUUCACCAAUUGCGAUUUCUGCGAUCACGAUCUUUACACGCUCACCUGCGUCGCGACGCCGUUCGAUUGCGCUGGUUGUUGCGCUGCUGAUUCUAGAUGCAGCCACUUCACUUACAGUACAUCGCCAAUCUCAAAGGAGGAACUUGCAUUUUGAAAAAAGCUUUCGGUUCCUGCGGCGCCUGGGCGUCGCCCGUUCCAUCGCCGUCGUCUCACGUCUGCGGUUACAUCCCCAGACGGGCCCUGCUUGACAUUUUCCUCAACAUUUGCGUCGGAUUGAACAUUAAUACGGGCAUCUUUCGCACCUGAACGGCUUAGCCUAUAAGACGAGGAUCCACACAUGCACCACUUGUAAA